CAGAUAUCCAAUUAUUUCAGCAUCACUUGCUAAAAAUACUUUCCUUUCGUCUUUGGAUUCCACUGGCAACUUUAUUGAAAAAUCAGAUAACUAUGUGGAGUCUUUCUCUGUCACCCAGGCUGGAGUAUUGUGGAAUCUGGUCAGCAGCCCACAGUGCAACGUGGCUCUCUCUUUGCUCUCAGUCUUGGACUGUGGUGUCGUCUUCGGAUGCUGUGCUAGUUUGGAUUUCUGGACUGCCUAACUCUUUACUUCUCUAAGAACAGCAUCCUCCACGGGACAAAUAUCCUCACAGCCAACUGGACUUUGGAUGGAUACAUGAUCCAAAGUAGGCCAAUUAAAUGGGUUUUUGGGAUUAGAACUGAGAGUCAGUCUGGUCAGGCUGAUAUGGAUUCUUCAAAACGAGUAGACGAGCCUCAGAAGCUAUUAGGAACACCAAGAGAAGGCGGAAAUCUUCAAGUCAGAAAGAGAGCUCGCUGAAACCUGACCAUGUU
rnacentral:lncRNA from 1 species